GCAGCAGGCGCGAAACUUACCCACUCGAGACUUUCGGAGGAGGUAAUGACCAGUUUCAUGUGAAGCUUAUGCUUCUGUGAAUAGGAUCACACUUUUCCAGUGUGGUGAAACCUAGCAGAGGGCCAGUCCGGUGCCAGCAGCUGCGGUAAUUCCAGCUCUGCGAGUUUGCUCCCAUAUUGUUGCAGUUAAAACGCCCGUAGUCGGAAUUGGACAGCAAUGUCCCUACGUUUCAACGUUCACUGUGAACAAAUCAGGACGCUUAGAGUAUGGUAACAAGAAUGACUCAGCGCAGUAUGAAGUCUUUGUUUCUUUCGGGAAACAAGCUCAAUGAGAGCCAUCGGGGGUGGAUCUAUUUCAUGGCGAGUGGUGGAAUACUUUGACCCAUGAGAGGGACACGGAGGCGAAGGCGUCCACCUAGAGGGUUUCUGUCGAUCAAGGGCGAGAGUAGGAGUAUCCAACCGGAUUAGAGACCCGGGUAGUUCCUACUGUAAACGAUGCCGACAGAGGUUUGUCAUUUUAUAAUGGCAGAACCUUUAGAGAAAUCAUAGUUCUUGGGCUCUGGGGGAACUACGACCGCAAGGCUGAAACUUGAAGGAAUUGACGGAAGGGCACACCAGGGGUGGAGCCUGUGGCUUAAUUUGAAUCAACACGGGGAAACUUACCAGGACCAGAUGUUUUUUAUGACUGACAGGCUUCGGGUCUUUCAGGAUAUUGCUUUUGGUGGUGCAUGGCCGUUGGUGGUGCGUGGGUUGACCUGUCUAGCGUUGAUUCAGCUAACGAGCGAGAUUAUCGCCAAUUAUAUACCUCGCAUUGGCUUCAGUGUUGAGGUUCUAAUUGGGACUCCCUGCGAUUUUAGCAGGCGGAAGAGGGUAGCAAUAACAGGUCCGUGAUGUCC
rnacentral:rRNA from 1 species